AAAGGCCAGCCUGUACAGUACCACGUGGCGUUUACGUCACACCCUGGUAUCGGAUAAAAGGACGCCGGGCCACUGCGACGGACACUUGGCAGCUGGGGCAGCGUACCGAGCGUAUCCGUAACGCUUCCACUUGUUUCUUCAGGGCCUUCCGGAGCAAGCGCGACAGUCUGCCUGAAAGUUCGUGGCCAAGCUACGUAACCGCUGCAUCUUUCCUGCGUUGCUGCACCGCUCUGGAAAAAGGCCAGCCUGUACAGUACCACGUGGCGUUUACGUCACACCCUGGUAUCGGAUAAAAGGACGCCGGGCCACUGCGACGGACACUUGGCAGCUGGGGCAGCGUACCGAGCGUAUCCGUAACGCUUCCACUUGUUUCUUCAGGGCCUUCCGGAGCAAGCGCGACAGUCUGCCUGAAAGUUCGUGGCCAAGCUACGUAACCGCUGCAUCUUUCCUGCGUUGCUGCACCGCUCUGGAAAAAGGCCAGCCUGUACAGUACCACGUGGCGUUUACGUCACACCCUGGUAUCGGAUAAAAGGACGCCGGGCCACUGCGACGGACACUUGGCAGCUGGGGCAGCGUACCGAGCGUAUCCGUAACGCUUCCACUUGUUUCUUCAGGGCCUUCCGGAGCAAGCGCGACAGUCUGCCUGAAAGUUCGUGGCCAAGCUACGUAACCGCUGCAUCUUUCCUGCGUUGCUGCACCGCUCUGGAAAAAGGCCAGCCUGUACAGUACCACGUGGCGUUUACGUCACACCCUGGUAUCGGAUAAAAGGACGCCGGGCCACUGCGACGGACACUUGGCAGCUGGGGCAGCGUACCGAGCGUAUCCGUAACGCUUCCACUUGUUUCUUCAGGUUGGAACUUUCUCGAUUUUUAGUGCACUCCUUCAAUUUGUAUUUUGCUGUCCCUUGCUGCCACUACAACUGUUGUUGCGUGUUAUUUACCAACAUUGACGAUGUCAGGAGAACUUGAUGCCCUGAAGCGUGAUUUUCGUAAAGAAAUGAGGGAGAUGAAAACUAGUAUGGAUUUCAUCAACAAAGAGUUUGAGUCUCUGAAAAAUGAAUGCACUGAACUAAGAAAGGAAAAUGCCACUCUCAGAGCAACGCAGGAAGCGCUCCUGCAAGAAGUUGAAGCAUUGAAGAAGAAAGCCCAUGAAAAUGCAUUGAGUAUUACAGCGCAGGAACAAUACUCUAGAAAUAAGAAUAUCGAAGUCAAAGGGGUUCCGCAGGUAGCAAACGAGAGCCUUGAAGGCAUACUCAGCAAAGUGGGCGAUCUGAUAGGUGAACCAAUAAG